CUCUUGCAUUUUUUUUAUGGAAGAAAUCGUUGCAUCUGUUGCUUGAGCCAUGUUUUCCGUUUAGCUUUCUUGGCACUCCUCUUUUUGCGUACUGUAAACAGGUUCUAUGAUUCCGGUAUUGGUUUUUUAAUGGAGUGGUCUUUAGGGUUCUCGAUGUCCAUGGGCUUCAUGAAACCAAUGCAAGAAAAGGGCAAAAAUUUGUGUUUUAUUUAAUUCAUAACCUUUUAUUUCUUCUCAUGACAUUUUAUACUUCUAUUUAUCCUUCUUUACCUCUUAUGUUUCUCAUAAAUGCUAUCUCUUUGGUAUUUCAUUUAGAUAUGAGGUUUUGUGAUCCUCGCUCUUCUUACUGGCUACCGUUUAGUGCAUGCGGUGACUCAGGCCUUCAUUUGCCUUCAUGUUCUUUAGUUCUAUAAAUCAUCCGGAAUUCACUUCUAGAUGGUUCUAUGGCUACGGUUUCUGAUUUAUUGACUUUUUUCCUAUAUGCUUUUUAUCCAUUUUUCAUUUUUUUUUUUUUGUCUAUGUUUUUCUUAUGGGUUUGUUAACAUUUCGCAGGAUCCAGUUUCUUUUACUUUAAGAUGAUUGGCUUAGGUGGUUUGAUUGGUAUUUUAAUGUUGAAAUUGUUUGAUCCUGUCCCAAAGGCUUCUGUUGGUAAGACUAUUGUUCCGAUGGUAUUGUAAGAGCUGGUCGAGUAUUUGUUGUUAAAGAUUGACUUGAGAGAAGCUCUGGCCCUAAUAAUAGCUUUAAAGUUUGUAUUAAAUGGUUCUAGAAAAGAGAUGAAGCUCAUCUUAAUGAGCAAGGAAAGCUUCAAACUCCUCUGGAAUCUUCUGAGAAGAUAUGUGCUAAUACGUGUGAUUUAAUUGAACACAGUAAUUUCUUGCUGGACAAAUAAACCAUUUUAUUUUCAUGUAUUAUAAUUAAAAAAAAAAAUUCUUUAUGCAA